rnacentral:rRNA from 1 species
GACGAACGCUGGCGGCGUGCUUAACACAUGCAAGUCGAACGGCAAGGCCCUGCUUUUGUGGGGUGCCCGAGUGGCGAACGGGUGAGUAACACGUGAGUAACCUGCCCUUGACUUUGGGGUAACUUCAGGAAACUGGGGCUACUACCGGAUAGGAGCUCCUGCUGCAUGGUGGGGGUUGGAAAGUUUAGGCGGUUGGGGAUGGACUAGCGGCUUAUCAGCUUGUUGGUGGGGUAGUGGCUUACCAAGGCUUUGACGGGUAGCCGGCCUGAGAGGGUGACCGGCGACAUUGGGACUGAGAUAGGGCCCAGACGCGUACGGGAGGCAGCAGUGGGGAAUCUUGCACAAUGGGCGGAAGCCUGAUGCAGCAACGCCGCGUGCGGGAUGACGUCCUGCGGGUUGUAAACCGCUUUCGCCUGUGACGAAGCGGGAGUGACGGUAAUGGGUAAAGAAGCACCGGCUAACUACGUG